UUUAGAUUUUAUACAAUUUUAGCUUGUUACCAAAAGAAUGGAAAGUACAGUAUUAAAACCACUGGUGAACAUGUACUGUACAUGUAGGUGUGAAUGUCCUGCAAAAAGAACUGAUAUCAAAGUAUGUUCAUCUGCAGAAUUGCAGUAAAUAUAAAUAAUUUGAUGCACUCUGUUCUCAAGUAUAAUUGUACAUGUACACUUGCUUAUUUUUCUCUCUUUCCAAUGUCAAGUAUGCUUCAAGGCAUCCUUACCCUGAUCCCCUCCUGCUCCAUACACACACACUCAGAAGUUCAAAUAAUCAGCAUUUAUAUUACAAACCUACCUAGUCAGACUGGCCUAUACAAUGUAUAUUAUGAAUUGACAAGUUGUUCUUGUUUUGAAUACAUAAAAUAUUUGCCACUAGACGUAGUUUCCGUACAAUAACUUUCGUUUAAGUGAAUGGAUCUCUAUCUCUAUGAAAUUUAAAUACAAGGUUUGAACACACUAAAGGAAGAUUGGGAUUGAUUUUGGGGUUAUGGUCCCAACAGUUUUGGACAGGUUUGGCAAAAACCCGGAUUUUAUGAGUACUGCCCAGCCCAGUGGGAAAUACUGGGAAAACCCGGGUUUUACUGGGUUUGAAUGGGUAAUACUGAUUACUGGGCAAUACUGGGUAAUAUAAAAUACUGGCCUGAAUUUUAAAAAGGAUUCAGUGAUCAAACUCAAUUGCAAUACAUUUAAGAUAUUUAUAAACACAUUUUGAUUUAUAAAUUAGUUUACCUGUUUAAGAGUGAUAAUACAAGUCUUAUUGCAUAUCUCUUCUUCUUUCGUAAUUCCCUCCUGUUUAGGAGCACUCGGAUGAGACCGAUAAAUGUUAACAGUAUAUGUACAUUAAAACACACAAUAAAUCCUCUGUAAAAUAUGAAUGAACAGCAUCCUCCACCAUAAAAACCAGUGUAUUUACAACAAGUCGUGAAUUUAUAUAUAAGCAUCAAUAUAGGGACUUUAAAAGUAAUGUAGUAUUAAAUUGGCAAGAGAUAUACUAAAUAAAUUACAUGUUCGCAGACUCAUAAAUUUAAACAGGUGCUUUUCAAUGCAAUAUAAAACAUAAGCAUGACUAAUUUUGAUGUUGAGUUACAUUAUUUAAUUAGGCUUAACGUUAAUUUAAACUGCCAAGAUAUAGUAUAAUUAUCAUGUACUUUUAGUGUAAGAAUAAAGUAUCUAAGUUUUCUUAUAAGAUGAAAAUUUAUCUAAACUGAAAUCAUGACUGGUGUUAUAGAAGUAUUAUUUUGAUUAGGUUAAUAAUAUACAUUUGAAAAAGUACUAUUCAUGUAACUAUGAGACAAGUAAACAUGUAUGCACACGUAACACAAAUAUUAAUGAAAAAGGCCUUUAUCAAUAAUUCUCUUCUGAAAGUCUAUUAAAUCACCCUCUCGUCUAGAUUGGUCAAACUGUUAACAUAAAUUCAAAGAAUUCAUUUUUCAAAUGUAUAUAACUUACAUUAAGAAUUAACAAGAAAAUGUAAGAAAUAUUACUUUUGUAUAAUUUAUAUGUACAUCACUAAUUAAUAAGUAAUUAUUCAGAUUAGGACAUUGAUAUGUUUAUAUAACAAUAUUCAGCCUUUUCAUUUCUACUAGGGUUAAUGACUUGACCCUGUAGGGUGUUUAUUUGGCAAUAUGAUUGCAUAGAUAUUUAAAUGCAAUUUAAAUUUAUAAUUCACAUAAACACUGCUUUAAAAUGCAUUUUUUUUAAAGUUUGGAUAGUUGAAACAAUACCUGGAAAUUAACUAGGUAUUAAUAAUCCUGAAAUAUUCAAAUUUUGUAUUUUGCCUACAUAGAAGUAGUGAAGAAAAGAAUGAAAUUGAAUUUUCAAUCUUCUAGAAACAUGACUCUCAAUGGUUAUCUGUAUAAAAUGUAGAUAUAUAGCUAUAAUACUAUGAAACUACAACAAGACUACUAUUUUGUUUAAAAAUAAGCUUACAAAGUCUUAUUGCCCAGUAUUACCAAGUAUUACCCAUUUCUGGGAGUAUUGCCCAGCCCGGGAAAACCCCGGAAUUCCCGCCUGGGUUUUCCCGGGCGCUUAAUACUUUGCCAACCCUGGUUUUGGAACAAGGAGCCCAAAAGGGGUUAAAAUAAGUAUUUUCCGAGGUUCCAGACAAUUACUUGUGUAUAAGUGUAUGGAUCUUUCUGAAAUUGUACCACAAAGACUUGAAGGUUCCAUACCAAAAAAAAGGUUGGGAUUGAUUUUGGGGGUUAUCAAUGGUUAUGGCACAAACUGUUUAUGAAUUAGGGGCCAAAAACAAUACUUCUCUAAUACUUUGUAUAAGUUGCUUAUUUCUAGACCAAUUUCAAUGGGGUUCUUUAAUAUGCUGAAUCAAACCCUGUAUUAAGUUUUUUUUUAAUUUGGUCCCCGUUUUUAUACGACCGCAAAAUGUUUGCGUUCUUAUAUUGGUAUCACGUUGUCGGCUAUAUAAAAUGUAUAAUAUAUACAAUGCAAUAUUCACUUAACUACCAACUGAUAAAUUAAAGCAAUCUUCAUCAUUCAGUGAUUACAAGCACUCUGAUUACCAUUCUAGGGUUAUGCCCCUUUACAAGUGGAAAAAUUGAAGAUUUUUUUAGUUUCUGUUCUCUUAACUUAAGUUUGUCUCAACUAAAUUUAAUGAAAUGUGUAUAUAAUGCUUAUUACCUCUAAACUCAGUUUAAGUUCAAUUUUUGGCAGCUUCACUUUUACAGUUCUUGAGUUAUGUCCCUUUAUAACGUUAUAUGCUAGUGUCACCACAUUCCCCAUUUAUUUUUUUAGAAGUUACUAUUAAUUCUAACCAUGACUGUAUGACAUUUUAUAUUUUAAUAUUUUAUGAUGUAUUUAAAUGAGUAGUUAUUGUUGCAAACUCCAUUAGAAUUUUGAAUUGAGAUCAUUUUUGGAAUAAGAGAAAGGGGGACGUGGAAAAAAAAUUGGGGUGGGGGUCAAUUUUUUUUUCUCAUUUUAGAUUUCAGAAUUUAAAAAGAAAAUUUCUUCAAAUAUUUUUUCUUUGAGAGGAUUAAUAUUCAACAGCAUAGUAAAUUGCUCAAAAGCAAAAAAAAAAAAUUAAGUUCAUUAGACCACAUUUAUUCUGUGUCAGAAACCUAUGAUGUGUCAACUAUUUAAUCACAAUCCAAAUUCAGAGCUUGAAUGUUGUGUCCAUACUUGCCUCAACCUUCAGGGUUCGACCUCUGCAGUCGUAUAAAGCUGCACCCUGCGGAGUAUCUGGUUAAAUUGGUCGCCAUUUAGGUCCAAAUGCCAUACAUAUUAUAUACACAAGGUAAUGUGUAUACUACACAUGCAUGAAUAGAGUUAGUUUUCAUUAUUUAAAAAAAAAAAAAAAGGAAAAUAUGUAGUAUCAUUGCCAAUGAGACAACUAUUCAUCAGGUCAAAAUGACUGAAUGUUAGCAACUAAAGAUCACUUUACAUGUAUGUACAGCUUUCAACAAUGAGCAAAACCAAUACAGCAUCAAGCAAGCUAUGUCCUGGAAUGACAGAUGUAAAACAAUUCCAAAGAGAAAAUUAAGGGCCUGAUUUACAUAAAAGCGAAAAAAACAACCAUGAUAAAUACAUGUAGCAAAAACAAUUAUUUCUCCACUCCAGUUGUUCACACGAUAUUUAUGUAUAUAUAUAUAUGUAAGUUUGAUAAAUCAUUACUUAUCAAAUUUAUGUUAUCAUUUUUGCUUGAUUGGUAAGCCAAUAUUUUAUGGUUAUUUUUUUUUAAUUACAGCAACUGUAUUCCAAGAGUCUGAUGGCUGAUAAUGUAUUACAGGAUUUUAUCAUUCAAGCAACAUCUUAGAAGGAUAAGUGCAAAUGUAUGAAUGAAGCCGUGGGUACAAAUAGCAAUUACAGCAGAUACAUGCAGGAGAGAACUCUUAAACAAAGACAUGAUAUGGGAGUGAUGUAUUCAAGAAAUCUCAAACACAUGGAAUUAAAUAUUGUGUAUAUUUUUUCAAACACAAGUACUUUCAGAAUAUAAUACAAUCAUGACAAUUCAAAUUC
rnacentral:lncRNA from 1 species